AGCUGGUUGAAGUCGGGCCAAAUAGUCUGUGUUGUCAUGCAUUUGGUCCCCUUCAACCAGCUGU
rnacentral:pre_miRNA from 1 species